UACGAGGGGGGCAAGCGUUAUUCGGAUUCACUGGGCGUAAAGGGUGCGCAGGCGGUCGGGUGUGUCAGAUGUGAAAUCCCGAGGCUCAACCUCGGAACUGCGUCUGAAACUACUCGACUAGAGUACUGGAGAGGGUAACGGAAUUCACGGUGUAGCAGUGAAAUGCGUAGAUAUCGUGAGGAACACCAGAGGCGAAGGCGGUUACCUGGACAGUUACUGACGCUCAGGCACGAAAGCAUGGGGAGCAAAAGGG
rnacentral:rRNA from 1 species